rnacentral:lncRNA from 1 species
CCAGGCUGGCCUUGAACUCCUGACCUCAGGUGAUCCGCCUGCUUCGGCCUCCCAAAGUGUCGGGAUUACAGAUGUGAGCCACCGCGUCCAGCCUGUUGAGAGGUUUCUCCAGGACGUCACCUGUAUGAGGUACACAGUGUGAUGACACACUCUGUGCUUUUCCUACUUGUGUCCACGGCUCAAGCCUGGAAGAAGCCUUAGGACGUGGGGGAAAUGUCUAACGUGGAGUCCACCUGCUGAGCAGGACCGGGUGUGAAGGAAGAAGCUUUGUUCUGAUUCCUCAUGGCCCAGCCACCCCUCGCCUGAGCUGAGCCUGGCCACAGGGCCCGCCUGCAGGAAGGGCUGGCCCAUGGCUUCACACUGGGCUCAGGCUGCGCUAAGAGCCCCGGGUGAGGACCUCCAAGCCCAGGAAGCCUCAGUUGGCCAAAGUGCUAGAUGCGUGUGGUCUGCUUUCAUCCCCGCUUCCCUCAGAGCUUGCAUUUUCCAAAUUCAAGAGAGGCUCCACCUUCAAGAAGACCGGCCUGUCCCUGUUAUUUAUGUGUCCCCCUACCAUAUCUCCCUUUGUUCUGCAGAGCGGUACGCAUAAAAAGCUUUUGGGGAAGGGGAGAAGUGUGGCUCAGUGACUUGCACAGGAAAUUGGAAAUUGGAUCCCCAGGUCUACCCCCACUCCUCUGACUCAUGCUUAAACAAACCCAACACAUGCCCUGACCUUUGCUCUCUCCCUCUAUUGCAGGCCAUACCUGCCAGCAGCCUGCUCUCCCGGCCAUGCUGCGGUUCACAAAAGUCCAGCAUUUGGCUAGCUUCCUGGGGGAAUGAAUCUUUCAGAGCCAAACUAAUGCUAUGCAUGCAGCUUAUGAUUUUUUUUUUUUUGUCUUCAACAAAGUGAAUACUUACUUUUUUUUUGCUCUUUAAAUUGUCAUCCAUUAUAUUCAUCAACACAGAGAGAUGGAACAUUUGGCAAAAUUAUUUUAAGUAGCACUCCAACCUGUGAUCGUAAUUUCAAAUCAAGGAAUUUGCUGAGCAGCUGUGGGGAAGAACAAAAGGCCUGAGAGUGAUUUAGGGCCUGGGGGAGGGGAGGCGGUGGAGUUGAAGGCCCCAGCCGGUAGCAGAAACAGCUGGGGAGGUAGGUUGUGCACACCCCGUGGGGGAGCCGGCCUUCUCAGCCCUGCCAUCCCAUCCACACGUGCCUCAUCAGAGAGUUUUCGUCUCCUGAACAUACCACAUGCAGCACUUUAAAAUAGAUAAACUAAGAGGAUUCAGAUUCAGUUUGAUACCCUCGCUGAGAGCUUCGGCUCGGGAGUUGGACAGGCCUGGCCUUGAAUCCUGGCUCUGCCUCUCACCAGCCUCAGUUGCAUCAUCUGUAAAAUGGGGCUAAUGUAGCAAUCACUUCGCAGAUAUUACUAUGAGGUUGAGUGUUUAUUUGACCCAGUCACUGGCAUAGAACAAGUGUUCAAAAUACUAUUAUUAUCACCAAUAUGCAGAAAUGUUCAAUGUAUACACUCGGUUUUUGCAACCAAUUUAUUCAAUGAACAUCUAUUGAGCACCUGUUAUGUGUUAGGUGCAGGGCUGGGUGUUGUGUGGGUACAAACACAUAAAGCAUAGGAAUUAAUAUGCUAUUAGAUAAACUAAAAAGACUUCUAUUGACUUAAAAAGUAAUAAUGACUUCUAAGCAUAUUUAAGUAAUUUACGAAAGAGCCUUUCUUUUUUUUAUUUUUGAGAUGGAGUCUUGCUCUGUCUCUCAGGCUGGAGUGUAAUGGUGCUAUCUCAGCUCACUGCAACCUCUGCCUCCCGGGUUCAAGCAAUUCUUGUGCCUCAGCCUCCAGAGUAGCUGGGUUUAUAGGCGCGUGCCACGACGCCCAGCUAAUUUCUGUGUUUUUAGUAGAAACGGGGUUUCACCAUGUUGCUCAGGCUAUCUUGAACUCAUGACCUCAGGUGAUCCACCUGCCUCGGCCUCCCAAAGUGCUGGGAUUACAGGUGUGAGCCAUUGCACCCGGUCAAAAGAGGCUUUCUUAACAGAUGGUCUAUUAGAAGCAAUUUGAAAAGAAAAUAUAGAGUUGAAAAAAAUAAAAGGGAAGCUGCAUUCUUUUUAAUUGUUUUUGAACUUGUUGCUUUUCAACACAGCUAUUAUCUAAAUUAACUUAAUUUCUUAAAAUAAGCCCUGCUUGAUACCCGGGAACCUUCAAUCAACUAAUUUGCAGAUAAUCAGACCUAUUUACAAAUAGUCUGGUUUGUCUGAGUGACUUUCAGUGACACAUGCAUACUCAGAAAGGGUAUCAUUUGCCAGGGAUUAGUCAGUUCUGCUGAAUUACAGUCUUCAGAAUGAGAAGUCAUCUAGUUCAACCUUUCAUCCUUUUAAUAGAAUUUCUGGUGGAUAACAGCUGAGCUUCUCCUCCGACUCUGCUAGGAAUGGAGAACUUACUACUUCAAAACGUAGAUGCUGCCUGGGUUGAGCAGCUCUAAAUGUUCAAGAUGGAAUCAUUAAUAGGAAACUAAUUGAAAAGAAUUUGCAUAGCACGUCUCAAGGACAAAAAUCCCUUCUGUUGUUUUUUCCUUUUGUCUUGGUCUGCAUCUCUGUCAUUUGGUGGUGUUUGGACUGCCUGUCUGUCUUCCCUUUUUACUCCGAGCGGCGGCCUGCCCUCUGCCCCCUGCCCCCAGGGGAACAACAAUGGCCCUGAUCACAAUUGGGUGGCCAAGCAUAUCAUGCCGUGGAAGUUUGGAGCCAACACUCAGUUCCAGUUGCUCCUCUCCUUAUUCUCUAGGGUGGCUCCACUAGGUUCUGCUUUCUCAGAAAACAGCAGUGAACUUUGUUCAGCCGAAACCCUAUUUCCCAAGCUGAUACUUGCUCACUGGCCUCCCCUCCUCCAGCUGCUCCCAACUGCUGACCACUUCUUGAGCGCACUGCUAGCUGCUUCUGCUGUUCCAGCACUUCCUGGAAGGCAGCUGCAAGCAGCCGAGGCAGAUGGAGCCCAAGCCCUGUUGCUUGUGGUCUUGGCUUACUGAGCCUGAAUCCACGACCGGAUCAUUAGAAAAGGGACGGUGUGUGUGCCUACCUUUGAAGCCAGUAGGCCAAAAGAAGGGUGAGCAGGACAGCGCCAUAACACCUAGAGUUACUGUGUUUGGUUCACACUUCUGGUUUCCUGCAGAAUUGCUAGAAUUUUUAAAAAAAGGAAGCAGCAAGUUGAGAGCAACUAAAGUAAAAAGAGAAAAGUGAUACAAAGGGAAAGGUUUAUUUUUGGAGCUCUUAGAUUCUGAAACUCCUUCUGACUCUUUUAUCCUUUUACCUCUCCCUUUCUCCUCACUGGGCUCUUUGUCCUCAUGGGGACUGUGCAUCUCUGGUCUCACUCUAGCUCUGGGUCCCUUAGGCUCUUCUGGUUUUCUGGCUCCUGGAGUGAGCCCUUUCAAUGAGGCCCUCCCUCAAUUUCCCAUCCCUCUUGUUCUUCUGCCAUCCAGACUCAUCACAGCCCAAAUCUGAGACCAGCUGGCUGCACCGCUGGCUACUCAGAGCGGCUGGAGACAGCCAUGCCCUGGGGCGACUUGUUCCAUGGUGAUCUGACUGGUUCAUGCAGGGGUCUCGGACCUCACGGACCUCAUCAGGAGCAUCAAAUGGGGUUUUUUUUGGCCGGAAUGAUAUUUAAAACAAUUUGAUUUAGUUAUGAGCAUUUAAGAAAUAGGAGGUCACCAGAAAAUCCAGAGUUUUAGCUCGGCAAGCAGAGAUGGAGAGCUGGCGGUACCCGGUCUUUACCCAUUCUGGAAGGACCACUGGCUGGAGCUGAGAGGCAGUGGCUUCUCUGACAUGGGGCAUACACUCCAUUUUGCUACCUUCUCUGCAACAACAGAGAGUGUCUUCCUGGACCCCAAACUGAGAAUCAGAUGCCUUUAAUCAACGGGCUUGCUUCCUCCCACUCCCCAGACAACCUGAUUCAUGAGAUGCCUGCCUGUUCCCCGUGGGCAUCUGAGUUUGCAGCCCAUGCUCAGUAGAGUUUAUUCGGCAAUCCUUUUCCUGACCUAUAGCAGACUCCUAGCCCACCACAUUUCUAAUGCAGCUGUUGCAAGUCUUGUCCAGACCUUUCAGACCCUUGAUCUCUCCGGGAGAUUGUGCCUCAUACAUUAUUGAAAAGAUUGAGGCCACACAACAUGUGCUCUAAUGCCUCAGCUUUCUGCCUUUCUGCUUCUAAGGUCUCUGUUCUCUCUCCAUUCCGUCCUCCUUCCCUCCUUUCUGACUCUCUUUUUCUUUUUUUCAUCACUUUUAAAAAUUGUAAAAUAGAAUGUACGUACAGAAAAAGGAGGCCGAGGCAGGAGAAUCACUUGAACCUGGGAGACAGAGGUUGCAGUGAGGCGAGAUCACGCAUUGCACUCCAGCCUGGGCAAUAAGAGUGAAACUCUGUCUCAACAAAAAAGAAAAACAAAAAAGAACCAAAAAAAACCCCCCAAAACCAAAGAUAUACAGUUCAGUGAUUUAUCACAAAGUCAACACCAGUGUCAUUAUCAGCCUGAUCGAGAACUAGAACUCUGCCCUCCCUCACCCUGGACGUACUCUUCAUUCCCCCGUCCACCUCUACCCUCCCUCCCUAUCAGAGGCGACCAUUAUCCUGACUUUUUAUGUAAAGCAUCUUUGUUUAUCUUUACCACCUAAAUAUAUAUAUAAACAGAUGUUUAUAGCAGUUUUAUUCAUAACUGUAAAAACUUGAAAGCAACCAAGAUGUCCUUUAGUAGGUGAAUAGAUAAUAAACUGGGAUACAUUCAGGCAAUGCACCAUUAUUCAGUCCUCAAAAGAAAUGAGCUAUCAAGCCAUGACAUGAUAUGGAAGAACUUUAAAUGCAUAUUACUAAGUGAAAGAAGACAGUCUGAAAAGACUAUAUGCUGUGUGAUUCCAACUAUAUGUCAUUGUGGAAAAGGCAAAACUGCAGAGGCAGUAAAAGGAUCAGUAAUUGGCCGGGCGCAGUGGCUUACAUCUGUAAUCCAAGCACUUGGGGAGGCUGAGGCGGGCGGACCAUGAGGUCAGGAGAUCCAGGCCAUCCUGGCUAACACGGUGAAACUCCGUCUCUACUAAAAAUUCAAAAAAUUAGCUAGGCGUGGUGGCAUGCGCCUGUAGUCCCAGUUACUCGGGAGGCUGAGGCAGGAGAAUCGCUUGAACUCGAGAGGCGGAGGUUUCAGUGAGCCAAGAUGGCGCCACUGCACUCCAGCCUGGGCAACAGAGCAAGACUCCGUCUCACACACACAAAAAAAGAAUCAGUAAUUGCCAGGGAUUAGGGGGAGGGAGGGAUCAAACAGUGCAGCACAGAGGGUUUUUAGCACAGUGAACUACUCUGUAUGAUACUAUCAUGAUGGGCACCUGUCAUUAAACAUUUGUCAAAACUUGUAGAAUGUACAAGACCAAGAGAGAACCCUAAUGUGAACUAUGGAUCCUGGGCGAUACCGAUGUGCCAGUGUAGGCUCAUGGAUUGUAACAAACACACAGCCCAGGUGGGGGAUGUUGACAGUGGGGAAGGCUGUGCUAUGUGGGGGGCAGAGGGUAUAUGAGAUAUCUCUGUACCUUCUGUUCAAUUUUGCUGUGAACCUAAAACUGCUCUAAAAAAAUAAAAUCUUAAAAAAAAGGAAAAAAGUCUCUUUAAAUGCUAAGAUUUAGUUUUUGGCUAAACUAAACUUUAGCAUUUCAAUGCUAAAGGCUGUUUUUUUUUUUUUAACUUUAUAUAAAUGUAACUAAACAGUGUGUAUUCUUUCAUGCGCCGCACUUUUUACUCAACAUUAUACUUGUGAAAAUCAUCCAGGUUGUCAUGUGUAGGUGUAGUUUGCAGUUUUUAUCAGUGGAUAGUAUUACAUUAAAGAAAUGGCAUAAUUUGUCUGUCUAUUCUACUCUUGACGGACAUUUAGGUUGUUUCCAGUCUAGGGCUAUUAUAAAUGACGCUUCUGUGAUCAUCCUUGCUCUUGUGUGCUGGUGGAGGCAUAUGUGUGUUUCUGAGGGUAUUACUCUGAGCCUGGAGUCUUCUUUGUGGAAAGGUUUAAAUUAUCAAUUCAGUUUAUUGAAUGGUUAUUGGGUUAGUUAAGAUUUACAUACUUUCUUGUGUCCAUUUUUGAUAAAUUUUCUUUUUAAGGGAUUCACCAAUUUAUCUAAAUUUGCAAAAUGUUUUGGC